rnacentral:rRNA from 1 species
AACGAACGCUGGCGGCAUGCCUAACACAUGCAAGUCGAACGAGACCUUCGGGUCUAGUGGCGCACGGGGGUGUAACGCGUGGGAACCUGCCCUUAGGUUCGGAAUAACUCCCCGAAAGGGGUGCUAAUACCGGAUAAUGUCUUCGGACCAAAGAUUUAUCGCCUUUGGAUGGGCCCGCGUUGGAUUAGCUAGUUGGUAGGGUAAAAGCCUACCAAGGCGACGAUCCAUAGCUGGUCUGAGAGGAUGAUCAGCCACACUGGGACUGGGACACGGCCCAGACUCCUACGGGAGGCAGCAGUGGGGAAUAUUGGACAAUGGGCGAAAGCCUGAUCCAGCAAUGCCGCGUGAGUGAUGAAGGCCUUAGGGUUGUAAAGCUCUUUUACCCGGGAUGAUAAUGACAGUACCGAGAGAAUAAGCUCCGGCUAACUCCGUG